UACGUAGGUCCCGAGCGUUGUCCGGAUUUAUUGGGCGUAAAGCGAGCGCAGGUGGUUUAUUAAGUCUGGUGUAAAAGGCAGUGGCUCAACCAUUGUAUGCAUUGGAAACUGGUAGGCUUGAGUGCAGGAGAGGAGAGUGGAAUUCCGUGUGUAGCGGUGAAAUGCGUAGAUAUAUGGAGGAACACCGGUGGCGAAAGCGGCUCUCUGGCCUGUAACUGACACUGAGGCUCGAAAGCGUGGGUAGCAAACAGG
rnacentral:rRNA from 1 species